UCUGCUCUCACACCACCUACCAAGGCCCUCCCUGCUCUCCGCCGACUCCAAUCCGCCGCCACCACCGCCGCGCCCGCUGUUUCCCCACCCGUCGGAUUCGUGGUCGAGGACUACCUCGUCGACACCUGCGGCCUCACCCGAGCCCAGGCCCUCAAGGCCUCCGCCAAGAUCUCCCACCUCAAGUCCCCUGUCAAACCAGACGCCGUGCUCACCUUCCUCGCCGAACUCGCCCUCUCCACCGCGGACAUCGCGGCCGUCGUCACCGGAGACCCCAAGUUCCUCUGCGCCGGCGUGGAGAGAACCCUGUCCCCGAUCGUCGACGGGCUCACCAGCCUCGGACUAUCGCGUUUAGAGAUCGCGCAACUCGUCUUGCUCGCCAACGACCACUUCCGCAGCAAAUCCGUCGUCUCCAAGGUGCACUACUACGUGCGCCUCUUCGGCUCCUUCGAAGAAUUCCUCCGGGUAUUCAAGCAUAACCACAAUCUCCUAUCUCACAACCUCGAGCGGGUGGUCAAGCGGAAUGUCGGGUUACUGCAGGAGUGCACGCGAGGUGUUUGCGAUAUUGGCAAGCUGUGCACCACUGUGCCAAGGAUGCUCACCGCCAAUGUGGAGCAAAUCCGGGCGAUAGUGGCCAGUGCCGAAGGUUUAGGUGUGCCUCGCGGCUCUGGAAUGUUCAGGCAAGCUUUGCAGUCUGUUGCAUUCCUCAACAACGAGAAGAUCUCCGCUAAAGUGGGCGACUUGAAGGAGAUGUUGAGUUGGUCGGAUGCCGUGGUGCGCAUUGCUUUGUCCAAGGGUCCAUAUCUGCUGGGGAUGUCAAAGGACAUGCUGCAGCGCACGUCCGAGUUCCUUGUCUCUGAGGUGAGGUUGGAGCCGGCCUACAUUGCUCAUCGGCCUUGUAUGCUCACUUAUGGCCUGGAGGGCUGGCUCAGACCCAGGUACUAUGUUAUGAAGUUCCUUAGGCUUUGUUCGGCCCUUAAGGAAAAUGGAUUGCUCAAGCGUGACACGUGCUACUAUACUUUUGUCAAGGCCACCGAGAUGGUAUUCCUGGAGAAGUACGUAUGCCCUUACAAGGAAGCUACACCACACCUUGCUGAACACUAUGCGACCGCUUGCACAGGACAAUUGCCCGUGAGAUUCAUAUUU
rnacentral:rRNA from 1 species